rnacentral:tRNA from 1 species
GGAAGCACAUCGGGCGCUGGUGGCUCGCGCGGUCUUCAAAACCGUUGAGAGGGGUGAGAAACUCCUUUGGCAGGUUCGAUUCCUGUGUGCUUCCGCCA